AUGGCGGCUUCCCAACCCAACAAACCAACAAUGAAGGAGGAUGGCGAAGAUGAGAUGGCGGGAUGGUGGGAGAAGGCUGCGAAGAAGCUUAGAGAGGAGGAUGCAGCCAAGCUAAAGAAGAAGAAGGAAGAGGAGCUUGAGGAGAAGAGGAGGGAAGAAGAGAGAGCGUCAAAUGCGAUGCGCGCUAGGGAGCAAGCAUUGGUGAGGAAAUGUGAGGAGGCACAUAAGAAGCGUCAAAAGGAUUUUGAAGAAGGAACCAUGAAGCUUUGGGCAAUUGCAGCUGAAAAAAAAGAGGCUCCGGAGGCUCUGGAGGAACCAUACCGAUAA
rnacentral:rRNA from 1 species